CCCUUCUCUAGGCUGACUUUCCUCGUCCGGGUCGCAGUUUUGCCCCAGGCCUUGGCAUUUUACCUGAUUUCCUCAUUUACAGAGUCACAACUACGGCCUAGUUUACGUUCAUUUCACCUGGUGCCUCCCGUGUCAGGCGGCCUUUGGUGUCACCGGGCACCAGACCCAAAGGAGCAGGUCAGGAGUGGGCGGGGUCAAUGGCUCUCAGGACGCCACCAACUGGUGGGGAGGGCGGUGUCAGAAGGCGGGGCCACCCAAGGUGACAGAUACGGACGUGGACAUCCUGGGGAGCCGCCAUGUUGAGGACGCCGACUACGGGCAGCGGCGGUGCCCAAAUUUAACCGCGUUUCAGCAUCGCCUUCCUUCCGCUCCAGGUCUUGCAGCAGCGCCCCCUAGAGACCGGCUUGAGGCGAGCGAGCGUGGCGGCGAUGAGUCCUGGGGAGUAUACCUGAAAACGCGGAGGGAGUCGGUUCUCCCCUUGGUGUGGUCCUAAGAAAAGGAAGAAGAGAAGGAGUAUCAAGGGCGUUUUAACACUGACCUCUCCACAUCUUCUAUCUAAAAGCCAUUCUAAUCACUACAUAUUUUUUGCAUAAAGGUGGGGGCGGGGGGAGAAGACUGGAAGGAAAGUAUCACUUGGGAUUCUCUAGAGGGUAUAAUUAACAAUUUUUUAUAUUUCUUUAAACUUUCUUGUAUUUUUCAUAUGUUCUACGGUGAAUAUGAAUUGUGGAAUAAAUGCAAAAAUGAUAAAUGUUAUUAAUACUUUUAAUGUAUGGGAUUCAAGGCAGUUCUCUUGGAGCACCUCCUGUUGGUCCAAGGGUUCUAAAAUCACAACUGAUCAAGCCACCUCCCAGCUUACACCUCUUCUGUGGCUCCUGGCAGUUCCCUUUUGUGUACAGUUGGAUUUAUUAAAUCUACCUCGCUGGAGUAGUUUUGAUGGAAAUAAUUAAGAGCAGACUCUCAGAAAAUGGUGGCUCUUCGUUUUAUUUUUAUUAUUAAAUUGUCCAAGUUUCUUAGCUGGUCUUCAAGGCCAUCAGCCACCGCAUCUCAUCCCACUCCUGGAUUCCUCAGACUCUUUUUAGAUCUGUAGCUUUGGAAUGUGCUGUUCCCUCUUCUCAGAAUGCGUUUCCCCUUUUGCUCCCACCCUGCGUACUUUGGUUCACAUCAGCAAGCAUGAAUUAGGAAGACCUGAAUGCCUAGUUUAAUCCUCUCAACCACACUUGAAAUAGUUAUACCCCAGUUUUACAGAUUGGCAGAUGGACUAAGAGUAGGUCAAAAGUGAAACAAAACUGAACAUCCUGCCCCAAGGCUACCCAACUUGAGAGUGGCAGAGCCUUAACUGAGAGCCACAUCUUCCCUCAAAACUCAACACAUGGCUUGCCCAUCUGUGUUACUCCAGUGCUCCACGCACCUUCCCUUAAGGGAAGCUUGGGAGUCAACCCUGCUUGAAUCCUGCUGGACAACCCACUUCACAUCUCUGUGCCUCAGAAUCCUGAGGCUAACUGGUGAUAAUCACAGGGAUGGCUGGAGCAUUAAAUGAGGUAAUACAUGAAAAGCACCAAGCACCGUGUAGUAAAUGCAGCAGAUGUUUAAAAGCUCAACGUGCAUUAGCUGCUAUUACAUUGCUGACAUUUUUGGAGUACUUCCUAUGUGCCAGGCACUUUGUACAAAGUUCUUAAUGUGUUUCAUCUAACAAUUCUCACAACAACCCUACGAGGUAGAAUUGUCUGCAUUUUACACAUGAAGAAACAGGCACAGGAUGAUUUGCCCAGGGCAAAUGGAAGUGCUAGAUGAAAGGAUAUGUGCAUUUUAAAAUUUAGAUACAAACUACCAGAUUGCUCUUCAUAGAGGUUACAUCAGUUAUCCACAGCAAGGUGGUACAAAUGCCUGCGUUCCCAUGGCCUCACCAACAUGGUGUGUUAAACACUAGGAUUUUUCCCAGUUUGAUUAAAUGAAACUGCCAUAUUUUAAUGUGCAUUUCUCUUAUUAUGAAUGAGAUUGAGUGCUAUUUGUAGUUACUUUACUCAUUUCUCUAUUGGGUGGUUGGUUUUUCAUACUAGUUUCCAGGAGCUCUUAAUAUAUUAGGAGGAUUAGCCCUUAGAGAUGAGUUUUUUCAUAGUCUAUAGCAUUUUGACUUGGCUUACGAUGUUUUUGACUUUAAAAAGGUUUCAACUUUUUUUUGUUUGUUUCACAUAGAAUUUGUCGAUCUUCAUUUAUGACUCCUGAAUUUGGGAUCCAAGUUAGAACAUUCUCCCCACCCCCUCCCACAGAUUUUAAAGGAAUUGCCCACAUUUCCUGUUAUGUAUACAGUUUGAAAUAUGGUGUGAGAUACAGAGCCAACUUUUCUUUCUCCAGAGUUUCCCAGUUGUUCCAACGCUAUUUUCUGAAGAAUCCGUCUUUUUUUCUCCCUGGUUCUGGAUGGCACAUUUACCAUAAUAAAUUCUUAUGUUUGAAUCUG